UACGUAGGGGGCUAGCGUUGUCCGGAAUCAUUGGGCGUAAAGAGCGUGUAGGCGGCCCGGUAAGUCCGCUGUGAAAGUCGGGGGCUCAACCCUCGAAUGCCGGUGGAUACUGUCGGGCUAGAGUGCGGAAGAGGCGAGUGGAAUUCCUGGUGUAGCGGUGAAAUGCGCAGAUAUCAGGAGGAACACCAAUUGCGAAGGCGGGUCUCUGGGCCGAUACUGACGCUGAGGAGCGAAAGCGUGGGGAGCGAACAGG
rnacentral:rRNA from 1 species